rnacentral:lncRNA from 1 species
AAACUCUGGUUUCUUCAAUCUCAAAACCCUCUUAGUGUCCUAAUGCACUUAUUCAUUAGGUGGCGACUCUUCAAAUUCCAUGACCAAAGUCCCAAGAGGAAAUGAGUUGUCUGCCCAAAUGUCAUAAACCCGAUUUCGUUCUGGAAAAAGGGGACAUCAACAACAUGGCGACUCUGCUGGGGAAAACCUUUACGCUUUAACCGUUU